rnacentral:misc_RNA from 1 species
CCGAGUUCUCGGGCUUCGGCUCGACUCUCCCACCCUUUGUGAACACACCUCUGUUGCUUUGGCGGCUCUCGCGGGCCGCCAGAGGACCUUCAAACUCCAGUCAGUGAACGUCGACGUCUGAUAAACAAGUUAAUAAACUA